AGAAUCAACGCUGGCGGCGUGCCUAACACAUGCAAGUCGCACGAGAAAGGGUAGCAAUACCUGAGUAAAGUGGCGCACGGGUGAGUAACACGUGAAUGAUCUACCUCCGAGUGGGGAAUAACUGAGAGAAAUCUUAGCUAAUACCGCAUAACACUUACGAGUCAAAGCAGCAAUGCGCUUGGAGAGGAGUUCGCGGCCGAUUAGUUAGUUGGCGUGGUAAUGGCCCACCAAGACGAUGAUCGGUA
rnacentral:rRNA from 1 species